GCAGCCCUGGGGCGGGGCGGGAAUGGCGGCGCCGCCUCCUCGUGCCUGCAGCCCCGGUACGGCUGAGGGGAGGAGCCACUGACAGCUAGUUCUUCUAUAGCAGCGCUUAUUGAACCUGCAGUUGGUAUAUACUGCUACUGGCCUGCACACACAUUCAUAUAUGAACCCUGUGGAUAAAGGAAGCUGAUGUAAAGGUUGCACUUCUCAGUUUCAUUGCUAAGAGACUGAGACUCACUGACUUUAUCCCCUAUAGGAGCAGGAUACAUUGCCAGCCAGAACAGUAGCAGCUCCCCAAGGAAUGCUGGAGAAGAAUCUUCAGGUGCAACAUCGCUGUUCCUUUGGCAAAACACAUACAGAAAGAUAACAUUGCCAGCCGUGUCUUGUGUCUGAGUGUGAAUACAGGGCUAUCUGUCUUGAAGAGUGAUGUGGUCAAGCCCUUGCCAAUGCUUUCCUUGCUACAGUGACGCUCAGAAGCUUUUCCACAACAACGAGAAGUCUGGUAAAUCUGGCAGCCUGGCACUUUCUUUUAAUGUGUAAUGAAUGGAGUCGGGGCCUUUUGUGGUAGGUACACGGAUAUCAUGUUGUCAUUUAGAAAUACUUCCUUCAAACAAGUUGUCUUGCUAAGAAUCCAUGUUUUCUUUUGUUCUGAGGUGAAGGAACUACAUAUAGUGUUUACAGCUCAUCAUGCAGCUAUAACUUUCCAGACAGAUGGAAAAACAUAGAAGGAACAGGAAGAGGAAAAAGCUGUUUUGAUGGUUGGCAUCUCAGUCGGAGUUCUUGUACUGUGCUGGAUCUCCUUCAUCACAGAAUUAAUAAGCUCCCUCUGUUCCUGCAGCAUCCCACACAUCUGGAAAAGCAUCUUUAUUUGGCUUGGCUACUCCAACUCUUCCUUUAAUCCUUUCAUUUAUAUAGCAUUUAAGAAAUAUUACAACCAUGCUUUCAAGAACCCUUUCCUGAAGUAGAGAUAAAAGGGGACAGAGAAGGAAAUGAUUCCUUUAUUGCACGUUACAGAGACUUCUGGAGGGAAAUGUGCAGUGAUACAUGCAGACUUCAAUCACAAGGUCUUGUUGAGGGGAUUUAGCAACAAAGACUGAAGAAGUCUGCAUAUAAACCUACGGUCAGUUUACAUUUCCCCCUUGGAAAUACAUGUAUAUUACUCCAGAGAUUGACAAAGAAAGAAGCAGUGAAUAUCUCCCUUCAUAAAACUGUUGUGGGUUAAAGUCUGCAAGCAAAGCACUGUAGCCAUAUAAUAGCAUGAAUAUCAAGUCUACCAUUGAGUCAUCAAGUCAAGUAGAGGUGCCAUCCUGCAGCUUGCUCAUCAUCAGCAAGGGCACCAAGGGGAACUGUGGAUUGAGCAACAGUGAAACAUUUGUGAUGUGCAAAGGAUGUUGGCUUUAUUGUGGGGACUUUUUUGGAAAGGAGAGAACAGAGAGAAUAAACAUUCUGCAUUCAGUUCACUGCUGAUUUUCUCUGAAAUAAAGAGGGGUGAUUAAGCAGCCCCAAAACACACCCCAGUUUGGCUGAGGGGCUGUGUCCUCCUGCAAGCAGCAGCUCAGGGAGAAGGGUUAGUGCAGUAAAAGUCAGUUAUGUCCCUGGGGUUAAGUGAGAUUUUAAAGCCAAGUGUAAAAGCUGUUCUGAGCUACAAAGGUUACAUAUGCACCUGCUUGCAAAAGCGGAGAACUGAGCCAGGAGUUUUUCACCUGUGUUGUGCUUUCUCACCCUGCAGGUCUCCCUAUUUUCCAGAACUCCAGGUAAGUUCAAGACAGACAACUGAUGGCUCCAGUAGGGACUGUACACAUUAUUAUUUCACACUGCCCUAAAACUAAGCACGUAUCUGUGGUUACAAGCACAAAAUGUGCAUUUCUGUACUAUCAGCAACACAUGGCUGCUUCAUCAGCUGCAGGUGAAAGACUGCAUUGCCCUAUGUGGGGUCCUAACAUCAUGAAUAUACUCAUCAUCUAAACUGCGUAAAUUCCAUUACAUGUCAUUUGAAGUUGACUUCUUCCUUUGAGUUAAGUAUUGCUUCCAUCUGAUCUAAGUAAGUCCAAAAAUAUAUAUACUUAUCUUGUUUAUAUUUAUGUACCAAGCCCAACGUUUGGCAUAAUGGGAGCGUAUCUCUAGAAAGUCCUCAGUCUUGAUUUAAAAGGUUGCAACAGUGGAUAAUUUUCUACCUUCCUUUGUCCUUUAUUUCCAUGAUCGGUUACUCUCAUUAUCAAAACCUGCAACUUGAUUUUAACUGAAAGAAAAGAGUAAAAUGAAGCAUGCAGGCAUUCCUCCUUCUGGCAGUUCAAGCAUUAAAGUUCAAAUCUUACAUUAGUUCUGUGCUGCUAUCCUUGGCUUCAAGACAGAAUGAAGAGCAUACAGAAUAUAGAAACCCUGUGUCUAUUAAGAUGAACAGUAAAGUGUCCUGAAUAAGAAAUAAUAACAAAUGAGUUUUUGAGAAGGUAUUCUAAAGAAGAAUCAUUUAGUAGUGCUUAGAUGUAUGGUCAUUUAUUUCCCCAACUACAAGUUGCCAGUUUGGAAUAAACCAGUUAUUUCUGCCUAAACACAGUGGCCUCGUUUUAUUUCUUGAUGCUGACUCUAUUCCACAUAGGACUUGGUGGAGAUGGCUCAGCAGAAAGGCACUGCUCCCUCUUGGAGCAAGGUUCCAAGAGCCCUGCAGUGCUCUAUGAAUUAAGGCCUAGGGAGCUUUGUGCUCUUGGAAUCCAUGGAUUGUGUAGAAAUCCAAAGACUUUGAAAUAAGAGACACAAACAUACAAUGUUAAUAGCUUUCUAUGCUCCAGCUCCUACAAUAGAAGCCUCAGUCUCUUUCUAAAGGUCUGUUUUACCUGAGAAUUCCCAAGCCCUUUCUGCUUGAAGAGUGAUGCAGGCAGAAAUUAAGGACUUUACUCUGAAAAUACAGGAUGAUAGAUUUCCCCGGCCCCAGUAACUUCUAAGCUAGUUGGCACACCAGACAUCAAGAAACCAGGUAUGAGCAGCCUAUGGCAACACGCUGAACACCCGGGGGCACCAAACCUGCCCAAAGAGUUGGAUAGGAUGCAGUUCCUGCCUGGAAAAUCAGGGAGAUCAGCCCACCACCCAGAUCUGGUGGCUGCUGGCAGAGACUGCCUACACUGCAACCCUGUCAGUACACGCACUGUACAAAUAAACAGGACAAUGUUCAGAAACUUCAGAUAAAAGACUAUGUUAUGCAUAUGUCAUCCACCACCCAAACAAGAUUUGUGUAUUGCUUUAUAUGAGAGUCCUACUUGCAUGCCUAAUUUAGGCAAAGCUGGUUCUAAGGAGUCACUAAACUGUACAUCAACUGUUUAAUUUAAUUAACCAACUGUACAGUGCAUGUAAUGCAUGCACUUUUCCGUUUAAUGCUACAGAGUCUGUGUAAGGUCACAUACAACCUUCCACUGUUCUCAAAAGGAGUGGAACGAGGUGGUGCAGUGUGAUAAACUUGUACCAUCUCCGCUGACAAUUCCAUACCAUGAACCAAUGUCUAUGCAAAACAAAUCUUACCCUUCUGUGGAUGGGCUCUGCAUAUAGCAUGUUUGAUAGUUUGUUCCAGAUACCUAAACAUCAAGCUUAACAAAAGCGGCAAGAGAUAACACAUUACCAAUUGCUAUGUGACACACAAAAGCAUUUCUACUAGUGAAUAUCAAGACACUACAUUUACAGAACUCAUCUUUUAAUGCACUUGUAAUUCAAAAUCGUAUUAAGGCUUCUAUAUCAACCUUAAGUGUGGAACCUUGAAGUGCCAUCCUUAAAACACAAUAGCAAAAGUUCACUGAAUUCUAAACAUCUUUUUAUUUUGUAUUUGCUGCCAUAGAAAGUAAUCUAUCAGCAGUCAUCAAUGUUACUGGGG